GACGAACGCUGGCGGCGUGCUUAACACAUGCAAGUCGAACGGAAAGGCCCUGCUUUUGUGGGGUGCUCGAGUGGCGAACGGGUGAGUAACACGUGAGUAACCUGCCCUUGACUUUGGGAUAACUUCAGGAAACUGGGGCUAAUACCGGAUAGGAGCUCCUGCUGCAUGGUGGGCGUUGGAAAGUUUCGGCGGUUGGGGAUGGACUCGCGGCUUAUCAGCUUGUUGGUGGGGUAGUGGCUUACCAAGGCUUUGACGGGUAGCCGGCCUGAGAGGGUGACCGGCCACAUUGGGACUGAGGUACGGCGCAGACUCCUACGGGAGGCAGAAGUGGGGAAUAUUGCACAAUGGGCGGGAGCCUGAUGCAGCGGCGCCGCGUGCGGGAUGACGGCCUUCGGGUUGUAAACCGCUUUCGCCUGUGACGAAGCGUGAGUGACGGUAAUGGGUAAAGAAGCACCGGCUAACUACGUG
rnacentral:rRNA from 1 species